CCUACGGGAGGCAGCAGUGGGGAAUCUUGCGCAAUGGGCGAAAGCCUGACGCAGCAACGCCGCGUGCGGGAAGAAGGCUUUCGGGCUGUAAACCGCUUUCAGCAGGAACGAAAAUGACGGUACCUGCAGAAGAAGGAGCGGCCAACUAUGUGCCAGCAGCCGCGGUGAUACAUAGGCUUCAAGCGUUGUCCGGAUUUAUUGGGCGUAAAGAGUUCGUAGGCGGUCGAGUAAGUCGGGUGUGAAAAUUCUGGGCUCAACCCAGAGACGCCACCCGAUACUGCUUGACUUGAGUUCGAUAGGGGAGUGGGGAAUUCCUAGUGUAGCGGUGAAAUGCGCAGAUAUUAGGAGGAACACCGGUGGCGAAGGCGCCACUCUGGAUCGAUACUGACGCUGAGGAACGAAAGCAUGGGUAGCAAACAGGAUUAGAUACCCUGGUAGUCCAUGCCGUAAACGGUGGGCACUAGGUGUGGGUUUCUAUUAACGAAAUCCGCGCCGUCGCUAACGCAUUAAGUGCCCCGCCUGGGGAGUACGGUCGCAAGACUAAAACUANAGAAUUGACGG
rnacentral:rRNA from 1 species